rnacentral:ncRNA from 1 species
UGAAACGCUAUGACAGGAGUAAGUACGUCCGUAUCGCGUAGGCUGAAGAGAGCCGGUGGGUGGUGUGAACCGGUGCUGCGGCGGAUGGAAUGGGUCUUGGAGCGCGAGGCUGAAGAGGUGCAGUUUGCGCCUUGGGUAGGCGUAGUCGGUUUCUCCCCGUUAUGGAGAUCAAGCAUGUUAUUACAGCGCGGACGAGAUGAACUGCAUCUUCGUUCCUUAAGGCGCAGAUUAACAUGGAAUUAGGGUGGUACCACGGUCUUUCGUCCCUUGC